GUGUCAGCCGCCGCGGUAAUACGUAGGGUGCGAGCGUUAAUCGGAAUUACUGGGCGUAAAGCGUGCGCAGGCGGUUUUGAAAGUCAGAUGUGAAAUCCCCGAGCUCAACCUGGGAACUGCGUUUGAAACUCCAAAGCUAGAGUAUAGGAGAGGGGGGUAGAAUUCCACGUGUAGCAGUGAAAUGCGUAGAGAUGUGGAGGAAUACCAAUGGCGAAGGCAGCCCCCUGGCCUAAUACUGACGCUCAUGCACGAAAGCGUGGGGAGCAAACAGGAUUAGAAACCCCCGUAGUCC
rnacentral:rRNA from 1 species